rnacentral:lncRNA from 1 species
GUGAGGAGGGAAAGCUCACAUGUGGCAAUGAUUGGAGAAAGAGAAGGUAGCCAAGGAAAUGGAGAAGGAACAGUCAGAGAAGAAGAGGAAAUUGGGAUGCAAAUAGGUACUGAAGAUCGUGUGAAGACAGGGAGGAGGUUGUCAUCAGCAAGCCAAGGAGAGAAGCCUCAGAAGACACCAACCCUGCCAACACUGUGACCUCAGACUCCAGCCCCCAGAACUAUUCCAUAGACUCUUCUCUGUUUCUUCAUCUAUGACAUGGGGAUAAUGUGAGUAUACCUACAUUAGAAGACUGCUGUGAAGACCAAAUAAGGUAACACACCUAAAGAAUUUGUGCAAAUUUCUGGUACAUUUUAAAUUAUAGUUAACAAAACAAGUAGUACCACUUUUAAAAAAAUCAACUUUUAUUUUAGAUAUGGGGGAUACAUGUGUAGAUUUGUUAUGUGGGGAUACUAUGUGAUGCUGAGGUUUGGAGUACAGAUCUUGUCACCCAGGUAGUGAGCAGAGUAUCCAAUAGGUACUUUUAAAAACUCCCCAUCCCCCCUGCUCCUUCCACCCUCUAAUGGUCCACAAUGUCUACUGUUCUCAUAUUUAUGUCUAUAUAUGCUCAAUGUUUACCUUCCACUUAUAAGUGAGAACAUGUGGUAUUUGGUUUUCUGUUCCUGCAUUAAUUUGCAUAAUAUUAUAGCCUCCAACUUCAUCCAUGUUGCUGCAAAUAACAUUAUUUUAUUCCUUUUUAUGGCUGUCUAGUAUUCCAUGGCAUAUAUGUACCAUAUUUUCUUUAUCCAGUCUAUCAUUGAUGGGCAUCUGGGUUGAUUCCAUAUCUUUGCUUAAAUAGUACCAUCUUUAACACAGGUGAAAUUUAUCUAUGCUGUAAGAAGUAAGGAUAGGGGUUACUCUUGGGAGGAAAUAGCAACCAGAAAGGUGUAGUCUAG